UACGAAGGGGGCUAGCGUUGCUCGGCAUCACUGGGCGUAACGCGCACGUAGGCGGAUUGUUAAGUCAGGGGUGAAAUCCUGGAGCUCAACUCCAGAACUGCCUUUGAUACUGGCGAUCUCGAGUCCGGGAGAGGUGAGUGGAACUGCGAGUGUAGAGGUGAAAUUCGUAGAUAUUCGCAAGAACACCAGUGGCGAAGGCGGCUCACUGGCCCGGUACUGACGCUGAGGUGCGAAAGCGUGGGGAGCAAACAGG
rnacentral:rRNA from 1 species